AUUGAACGCUGGCGGCAGGCCUAACACAUGCAAGUCGAGCGGAUGAAGGGAGCUUGCUCCUGGAUUCAGCGGCGGACGGGUGAGUAAUGCCUAGGAAUCUGCCUGGUAGUGGGGGAUAACGUCCGGAAACGGGCGCUAAUACCGCAUACGUCCUGAGGGAGAAAGUGGGGGAUCUUCGGACCUCACGCUAUCAGAUGAGCCUAGGUCGGAUUAGCUAGUUGGUGGGGUAAAGGCCUACCAAGGCGACGAUCCGUAACUGGUCUGAGAGGAUGAUCAGUCACACUGGAACUGAGACACGGUCCAGACGCCUACGGGAGGCAGCAGUGGGGAAUAUUGGACAAUGGGCGAAAGCCUGAUCCAGCCAUGCCGCGUGUGUGAAGAAGGUCUUCGGGUUGUAAAGCACUUUAAGGUGGGAGGAAGGGCAGUAAGUUAAUACCUUGCUGUUUUGACGUUACCAACAGAAUAAGCACCGGCUAACUUCGUG
rnacentral:rRNA from 1 species